AAGUCGUAACAAGGUUUCCGUAGUGAUACCUGCGGAAGGAUCAUUACUGAACUGCUUGGAGAUGUUGCUGGCUUCCUUUCAGAAAGCAGGUGCACUCUUUCAACUCUUCACAAAAUUUCCUUCACACACCUUUGUGCACUGCUUGUAGGGAUCUCCUCCUUCAAUGGAGGGAGGAGGCUCUAUGUCUUUUUGCUACACAUAUCACACGUAUUGAAUGUAACACCCUAUAAUAAAGAGAAACAACUUUCAACAAUGGAUCUCUUGGCUCUCGCAUCGAUGAAGAACGCRRCAAAAUGCGAUACGUAGUGUGAAUUGCAGAAUUCCGUGAAUCAUUGAAUCUUUGAACGCAUCUUGCACCUCUUGGUAUUCCGAGGGGCAUGCCUGUUCGAGUGUCAUUGAAACUUCAAACAUCAACACCUUUCUUUUGGGGUUGUUUGUUUGUUUGGACUUUGGGGGCCCCCAGAGUGCUGGCAACAUCUGAAGUCAGCUCCCCUUAGAUGAAUUAGCAAAGGUUGAAACACCACUUCAAAAAAAAUACUGGGCCAUGCUUGCUCUUGCAUUGAUAGAUUUUGGUUUUCAUGCCUGAGAUUGAGCUGGCUUAUUUUUUGAAAAAGUUGCCUCUCCCAGCUUGUUGCUUAAUAGCGGUCUUUAGGGACACAAGAUCCUCUUCAUCUUGGUUCAUGGCCAAUUUUGGCUCUAAUUCAGGUAGGACUACCCGGUGAGACUUAA
rnacentral:rRNA from 1 species